GCAGGCCUAACACAUGCAAGUCGAGCGCCCUUUCGGGGGAGCGGCGGACGGGUUAGUAACGCGUGGGAAUAUGCCCAGAUCUAAGGAAUAGCCACUGGAAACGGUGAGUAAUACCUUAUACGCCCUUCGGGGGAAAGAUUUAUCGGAUUUGGAUUAGCCCGCGUUAGAUUAGGUAGUUGGUGGGGUAAUGGCCUACCAAGCCUACGAUCUAUAGCUGGUUUUAGAGGAUGAUCAGCAACACUGGGACUGAGACACGGCCCAGACUCCUACGGGAGGCAGCAGUGGGGAAUCUUGGACAAUGGGGGCAACCCUGAUCCAGCCAUGCCGCGUGAGUGAUGAAGGCCUUAGGGUCGUAAAGCUCUUUCGCCUGUGAAGAUAAUGACGGUAGCAGGUAAAGAAACCCCGGCUAACUCCGUGCCAGCAGCCGCGGUAAUACGGAGGGGGUUAGCGUUGUUCGGAAUUACUGGGCGUAAAGCGCACGUAGGCGGAUCGGAAAGUUGGGGGUGAAAUCCCGGGGCUCAACCCCGGAACUGCCUCCAAAACUAUCGGUCUAGAGUUCGAGAGAGGUGAGUGGAAUUCCGAGUGUAGAGGUGAAAUUC
rnacentral:rRNA from 1 species